rnacentral:lncRNA from 1 species
UCUCCGUUUCUCUUCCUCUUUCUUCUUAACUUCGUCUGGUUCACCAGGUUGUGCUAGGCUACCUAGCCUUGGAUCGUGCUAGGUCGCGCAGCCUCUGAACAACUUGUCCAGGUCCGGCUCAACCGCGUGGGUGCCGUUGGAAGGGCGACGAUGCAUUUCAUUGUCACAUCGAUGCAGUCGUGUGCAUAUUAAGCCCCGUUAUCUCUUGCAAAACAUUAUAUAAACUUCGAAAUAAUAAACUUUAUUCGAUGCGAUACCUUGGUUUUUCGCAAUUUGAGCUACGAUAUCGCUGAUAAAUACGAUACGAGAGAUAGGAUUACUCAGUUUCUGUUUGCGAUUAAAAUGACGAGCUUCGUGCAAGGGAAGGCGAAAAUGGUUGAUGUCGUUGAGAUAAAGGCGGAGAAAAUGGAAGAGAGAUGCUACCGCCACGAAGAACUAUCAAUACCGACGGCCAAAUGGAGAAUUAACAUGUUCACUCAGCAUUACGGUUGUGCAUUGUCCACCACAUAUAGGGCGCUGAUGUCGAGUGGCCAAACUAUUUCAAGAAAGUAAAACAUGGUGGAAAUAAUCAAGGGACACAGAAUUAUGGCUUUGUGUCGUUUGUUUUGACUACUCUGCAGCAACGCCAAUGGUGGCAGAUUAAAGAAACACAGAUCGCCGCAUCAUUGUGACAUUCUUGACCACGGGGGUUUCGGGAUCUGUAUAUACGACCGUGGAUCAAUAGCUACACUAGGGACAUCUAGAACUUACGUUGAGUCUACUUCAGAAAUUUUAUUUACGUAUUUGCAGAAGAUAAGUAAAAAAGAUU